rnacentral:rRNA from 1 species
UACGUAGGGCGCUAGCGUUGUCCGGAUUUAUUGGGCGUAAAGAGCUCGUAGGCGGCUCGUUGCGUCGGCUGUGAAAACCCGCAGCUCAACUGUGGGCUUGCAGCUGAUACGGGCGGGCUGGAGUUCGGUAGGGGAGACUGGAAUUCCUGGUGUAGCGGUGAAAUGCGCAGAUAUCAGGAGGAACACCGGUGGCGAAGGCGGGUCUCUGGGCCGAUACUGACGCUGAGGAGCGAAAGCGUGGGGAGCGAACAGG